AAUCUAUAUGAUUAUUAGUUGUGCACCAGUAACAAAAUUAAAGCAUAACUAGGCAAUAUGAAUGGAGUCUCUAAUACUCUGACUUUAUUUUUGUCCUGAUUUUAUAAUGUUGUUUGUGCAGGUCUCAAUUUGGUGUGAUCUCACUGUAGUUGAAGACAGCUGUAUUUGUUCACUUCUUUUCGGCAAAGGAGAUUUUAUGGGGAUCAAAGAUUUUGUGGCACACGAAUAUGACUUGGGUUGAUGUGUUGGGGAUCAAAGUUAUGUAUUCUUAGUGUUGUUAGAUGGAUGAUGGACUUGGGUUGUUGAACUUGUAAACUUUGUUGAACAAGAUGGAUCUUGUAUGUAAACUUUGUUGAAAUCUUUAUAUUUCUUGAAUUA